rnacentral:rRNA from 1 species
UAGGGAAUCUUCCACAAUGGGCGAAAGCCUGAUGGAGCAACGCCGCGUGUGUGAUGAAGGGUUUCGGCUCGUAAAACACUGUUGUAAGAGAAGAAUGACAUUGAGAGUAACUGUUCAAUGUGUGACGGUAUCUUACCAGAAAGGAACGGCUAAAUACGNGCAG